CUUGGCGUGUUUGGGCAUGUCGGAUCCCUGCUUUGGCAGCGACGACGUGGCUUGCGCGCCUCUUCAGCUAAUGGCACAAGUGCUCGCUAGCCUUGGCCGCUCUUGGUUUCCUGUGCUGCAUACCUGCCGUGAAGGCAUUAAAUAGUCCCAAACGUCCCUUUUCCGCCUUGUGCUGCGCCUCUUGGGGCUGCAGUGCGGGGCGGACCAUGAAGCAUGCGCCGUGGUCCACCAUCCUUCCGUUUUCAUGCGUGCUUGGGUGGUUGGCAUACGGCGUAUGCUUGAUCUCUCGGAUGCGGAAAAUAUUGUGGGCACGAGGCCCCGGCCUCUAUUUGCCCCUAAACAAAGCGUUCUACGCUUCGUGCGAACGACGUUCGUUUUUGUUUUGGCCGAGUUCUCGUGGCUCGGACCAUGCGAUAGCCGACGUCGGUGAGGAAUGCUAC
rnacentral:misc_RNA from 1 species